rnacentral:rRNA from 1 species
GGCGAACGGGUGAGUAACACGUGGGCAAUCUGCCCUUCACUCUGGGACAAGCCCUGGAAACGGGGUCUAAUACCGGAUACCACUCCUGCCUGCAUGGGCGGGGGUUGAAAGCUCCGGCGGUGAAGGAUGAGCCCGCGGCCUAUCAGCUUGUUGGUGGGGUAAUGGCCCACCAAGGCGACGACGGGUAGCCGGCCUGAGAGGGCGACCGGCCACACUGGGACUGAGACACGGCCCAGACUCCUACGGGAGGCAGCAGUGGGGAAUAUUGCACAAUGGGCGAAAGCCUGAUGCAGCGACGCCGCGUGAGGGAUGACGGCCUUCGGGUUGUAAACCUCUUUCAGCAGGGAAGAAGCGAGAGUGACGGUACCUGCAGAAGAAGCGCCGGCUAACUACGUGCCAGCAGCCGCGGUUAAUACGUAGGGCGCAAGCGUUGUCCGGAAUUAUUGGGCGUAAAAGCUCGUAGGCGGCUUGUCCCGUCGGAAUGUGAAACCCGAGGCUCA